UAGGGAAUCUUCCACAAUGGACGCAAGUCUGAUGGAGCAACGCCGCGUGAGUGAAGAAGGUUUUUGGACCGUAAAGCUCUGUUGUUGGUGAAGAAGGAUAGAGGUAGUAACUGGCCUUUAUUUGACGGUAAUCAACCAGAAAGUCACGGCUAACUACGUGCCAGCAGCCGCGGUAAUACGUAGGUGGCAAGCGUUGUCCGGAUUUAUUGGGCGUAAAGCGAGCGCAGGCGGAAGAAUAAGUCUGAUGUGAAAGCCCUCGGCUUAACCGAGGAAUUGCAUCGGAAACUGUUUUCUUGAGUGCAGAAGAGGAGAGUAGAACUCCAUGUGUAGCGGUGGAAUGCGUAGAUAUAUGGAAGAAUACCAGUGGCGAAGGCGGCUCUCUGGUCUGCAAACUGACGCUGAGGCUCGAAAAGCAUGGGUAGCGAACAGGAUUAGAUACCCUGGUAGUCCAUGCCGUAAACGAUGAGUGCUAAGUGUUGGGAGGCUUCCGCCUCUCAGUGCUGCAGCUAACGCAUUAAGCACUCCGCCUGGGGGAGUACGACCGCAAGGUUGAAAC
rnacentral:rRNA from 1 species